AACGCAUGGUUGUCAAUAGAGUUUAACAAUAGAGUUUCUUCAGCUCUUCUAAUUUCUUCUGGUUUAAUGCUGCAUUCCGUCAUUUCCUUCAUCUCUCCGAAAUUAUCACCCGAAGCCAACACAAACCCGAUCGGUUUUUUGAUUCAAAACUAAUCCGAAGUAAAUAUCCAGUGUGCGGGAGGAUUUUUUUAAAAUGCAUCCUUCUCAUUUUUUCAUGUGAAGGCUGCUUGAUGCAUCAAUCGUUCUGACAAAGACCAUUACAUUUAUGGUUUCAUUAUAAGAUCCGAAGCAGCUCCCAUCUUCAGUUCCGAAAAUCUGGAUAAACAUGACGAUCUUCUUUUCUGUGCUGCCAUCGUGUGGUCCAUUACAAGCUGAAAUGUAGGCUACAGUUAAUUGAUAUUCCACAAGUAAUUAUGAUAUUCAUAUUUCGUUGCUUUCAUGUGCAUUAAAAUACUUAAUAUAUUGUAUGAACGUAAAUAUGUAUAAUGCAUAUAAUUUUGUCUUUCGCAGUGGGAUUUAUUCAUUUUCUGGAUGAGUUAAUCAAUAAUUUAUUUAAAUUGACAUUACACAAUCCGCGCGCACCUCAACACAAUGAGCGACCGGAACCGGAAAUAUGCUACAGAAAUGAAGGAGAAUGCAAAUAAGUCAACUGUAAAACAGCCUACAGGAAAGAGUUUAUCUUUUAAAAGUUGUUUUAUAUAUGUUGGUAAAUAAAUCAAAUU